rnacentral:rRNA from 1 species
UCGAUGAAGAACGCAGCGAAAUGCGAUAAGUAAUGUGAAUUGCAGAAUUCAGUGAAUCAUCGAAUCUUUGAACGCACAUUGCGCCCCUUGGUAUUCCGAGGGGCAUGCCUGUUCGAGCGUCAUUAUAACCACUCAAGCCUCGGCUUGGUCUUGGGGUUCGCGGUUUCGCGGCCCUUAAAAUCAGUGGCGGUGCCGUCUGGCUCUAAGCGUAGUAAUUCUCUCGCUAUAGGGUCCAGGUGACCACCUGCCAUAACCCCCCAUUCUUACGGUUGACCUCGGAUCAGGUAGGGAUACCCGCUGAACUUAA